rnacentral:rRNA from 1 species
CCUACGGGAUGCUGCAGUGAGGAAUAUUGGUCAAUGGGCGCGAGCCUGAACCAGCCAAGUAGCGUGAAGGAUGACUGCCCUACGGGUUGUAAACUUCUUUUAUAAAGGAAUAAAGUGAGGCACGUGUGCCUUUUUGUAUGUACUUUAUGACUAAGGAUCGGCUAACUCCGUUCCAGCCGCCGCGUUAAUACGGAGGAUCCGAGCGUUAUCCGGAUUUAUUGUGUUUAAAGGGAGCGUAGAUGGGUUGUUAAGUCAGUUGUGAAAGUUUGCGGCUCAACCGUAAAAUUGCAAUUGAUACUGGCAGCCGUGAGUACAGUUGAGGUAGGCGGAAUGCGUGGUGUAGCGGUGAAAUGCUUAGAUAUCACGCAGAACUCCGAUUGCGAAGGCAGCUUACUAAACUGCCACUGACAUUGAUGCACGAAAGUGUGGGUAUCAAACAGGAUUAGAUACCCCUGUAGUC